rnacentral:rRNA from 1 species
UACGGGGGGGGCAAGCGUUGUUCGGAAUUACUGGGCGUAAAGGGUGCGUAGGCGGCGCGGUAAGUCGGGUGUGAAAUCUCGGAGCUUAACUCCGAAACUGCAUUCGAUACUGUCGUGCUUGAGGACUGGAGAGGAGACUGGAAUUUACGGUGUAGCGGUGAAAUGCGUAGAUAUCGUAAGGAAGACCAGUGGCGAAGGCGGGUCUCUGGACAGUUCCUGACGCUGAGGCACGAAGGCCAGGGGAGCAAACGGG